UAAACGGCGGUGGUAACUAUAACCAUCCUAAGGUAGCGAAAUUCCUUGUCGGGUAAGUUCCGACCUGCACGAAUGGCGUAAUGAUGGCCAGGCUGUCUCCACCCGAGACUCAGUGAAAUUGAACUCGCUGUGAAGAUGCAGUGUACCCGCGGCAAGACGGAAAGACCCCGUGAACCUUUACUAUAGCUUGACACUGAACAUUGAGCCUUGAUGUGUAGGAUAGGUGGGAGGCUUUGAAGUGUGGACGCCAGUCUGCAUGGAGCCGACCUUGAAAUACCACCCUUUAAUGUUUGAUGUUCUAACGUUGGCCCGUUAUCCGGGUUGCGGACAGUGUCUGGUGGGUAGUUUGACUGGGGCGGUCUCCUCCUAAAGAGUAACGGAGGAGCACGAAGGUUGGCUAAUCCUGGUCGGACAUCAGGAGGUUAGUGCAAUGGCAUAAGCCAGCUUGACUGCGAGCGUGACGGCGCGAGCAGGUGCGAAAGCAGGUCAUAGUGAUCCGGUGGUUCUGAAUGGAAGGGCCAUCGCUCAACGGAUAAAAGGUACUCCGGGGAUAACAGGCUGAUACCGCCCAAGAGUUCAUAUCGACGGCGGUGUUUGGCACCUCGAUGUCGGCUCAUCACAUCCUGGGGCUGAAGUAGGUCCCAAGGGUAUGGCUGUUCGCCAUUUAAAGUGGUACGCGAGCUGGGUUUAGAACGUCGUGAGACAGUUCGGUCCCUAUCUGCCGUGGGCGCUGGAGAACUGAGGGGGGCUGCUCCUAGUACGAGAGGACCGGAGUGGACGCAUCACUGGUGUUCGGGUUGUCAUGCCAAUGGCACUGCCCGGUAGCUAAAUGCGGAAGAGAUAAGUGCUGAAAGCAUCUAAGCACGAAACUUGCCCCGAGAUGAGUUCUCCCUGACUCCCUGAGAGUCCUGAAGGAACGUUGAAGACGACGACGUUGAUAGGCCGGGUGUGUAAGCGCAGCGAUGCGUUGAGCUAACCGGUACUAAUGAACCGUGAGGCUUAACCUU
rnacentral:rRNA from 1 species